rnacentral:rRNA from 1 species
CCUACGGGUGGCAGCAGUGAGGAAUAUUGGUCAAUGGACGAGAGUCUGAACCAGUCAAGUAGCGUGAAGGAUGACUGCCCUAUGGGUUGUAAACUUCUUUUAUAUGGGAAUAAAACGUUCCACGUGUGGGAUUUUGUAUGUACCAUAUGAAUAAGGAUCGGCUAACUCCGUGCCAGCAGCCGCGGUAAUACGGAGGAUCCGAGCGUUAUCCGGAUUUAUUGGGUUUAAAGGGAGCGUAGGUGGAUUGUUAAGUCAGUUGUGAAAGUUUGCGGCUCAACCGUAAAAUUGCAGUUGAAACUGGCAGUCUUGAGUACAGUAGAGGUGGGCGGAAUUCGUGGUGUAGCGGUGAAAUGCUUAGAUAUCAUGAAGAACUCCGAUUGCGAAGGCAGUUCACUGGACUGCAACUGACACUGAGGCUCGAAAGUGUGGGUAUCAAACAGGAUUAGAUACCCCUGUAGUC